UUAAAUAAUUUUUCAAUUAUGUAUUUUAAUUUAUUAAUGAAACUACCAAUCCAUUUUCAAUCCAAUGUGUUCUAAAAGUUUAAAUCCAUAUGCUUCAUUGCACCGUGUAAUUGAAAUGAAUUCAACAUUAUUAGUCAAACUUCAUAAUCAAAAUCUGGUUUUAAAAAAGAUAAAAGAAAAUAUAAAAACACUAUUUCUCCGGCUACAAGAUAUUGAUAAAGUUCAUGAUGUGAAAGUAGAACCUUGAAAAUAUUGUAUCUCCUAAGUAUAUC
rnacentral:lncRNA from 1 species